UGUAUGAUGAUAAAGAUGACGA
rnacentral:miRNA from 1 species